UGGCGCCCAAUGUUGAGGCUUGAGAACGUGGAGAAUCGGUAAACAUCGCACACCAAAGGAGGCCUGCAUAUCAGUUGGACCACCGUGGAGAAUGCUCCAAGAGCUAAGGUCUGGUCAAGUGAUUGCCAUGUGGACACCCGAUCGUGAGACAGAUCCAGGGAGUUGAUUUGUGCCGAUGCAAGGUAAGUUUACCAUGGGACAAGCAUUUAGUAAGCAGGAUUUAUUUAUUUCAGGACUUAGUCUCUCAAGACACAAGAAACAAGGGUGAAAAAAAAAGAUUUAAAAAAGUUUCUUGAUUAUAUUGGGGACUUUUCCCCCU
rfam:Neotoma lepida isolate 417 scaffold_9538, whole genome shotgun sequence.